GGUUAAGUUAGAAAGGGCGCACGGUGGAUGCCUUGACACUAGGAGUCGAUGAAGGACGGGACUAACGCCGAUAUGCUUCGGGGAGCUGUAAGUAAGCUUUGAUCCGAAGAUUUCCGAAUGGGGAAACCCACCAUACGUAAUGGUAUGGUAUCCUUAUCUGAAUACAUAGGGUAAGGAAGACAGACCCAGGGAACUGAAACAUCUAAGUACCUGGAGGAAGAGAAAGCAAAUGCGAUUUCCUGAGUAGCGGCGAGCGAAACGGAACAUAGCCCAAACCAAGAGGCUUGCCUCUUGGGGUUGUAGGACAUUCUAUACGGAGUUACAAAGGAACGAGGUAGACGAAGCGACCUGGAAAGGUCCGUCGUAGAGGGUAACAACCCCGUAGUCGAAACUUCGUUCUCUCUUGAAUGUAUCCUGAGUACGGCGGAACACGUGAAAUUCCGUCGGAAUCUGGGAGGACCAUCUCCCAAGGCUAAAUACUCCCUAGUGAUCGAUAGUGAACCAGUACCGUGAGGGAAAGGUGAAAAGCACCCCGGAAGGGGAGUGAAAGAGAUCCUGAAACCGUGUGCCUACAAAUAGUCAGAGCCCGUUAACGGGUGAUGGCGUGCCUUUUGUAGAAUGAACCGGCGAGUUACGAUCCCGUGCGAGGUUAAGCUGAAGAGGCGGAGCCGCAGCGAAAGCGAGUCUGAAUAGGGCGUUUAGUACGUGGUCGUAGACCCGAAACCAGGUGAUCUACCCAUGUCCAGGGUGAAGUUCAGGUAACACUGAAUGGAGGCCCGAACCCACGCACGUUGAAAAGUGCGGGGAUGAGGUGUGGGUAGCGGAGAAAUUCCAAUCGAACCUGGAGAUAGCUGGUUCUCCCCGAAAUAGCUUUAGGGCUAGCCUUAAGUGUAAGAGUCUUGGAGGUAGAGCACUGAUUGGACUAGGGGUCCUCAUCGGAUUACCGAAUUCAGUCAAACUCCGAAUGCCAAUGACUUAUCCUUAGGAGUCAGACUGCGAGUGAUAAGAUCCGUAGUCAAAAGGGAAACAGCCCAGACCGCCAGCUAAGGUCCCAAAGUGUGUAUUAAGUGGAAAAGGAUGUGGAGUUGCUUAGACAACUAGGAUGUUGGCUUAGAAGCAGCCACCAUUUAAAGAGUGCGUAAUAGCUCACUAGUCGAGUGACUCUGCGCCGAAAAUGUACCGGGGCUAAAUACACCACCGAAGCUGCGGAUUGAUACCAAUGGUAUCAGUGGUAGGGGAGCGUUCUAAGGACAGUGAAGUCAGACCGGAAGGACUGGUGGAGUGCUUAGAAGUGAGAAUGCCGGUAUGAGUAGCGAAAGACGGGUGAGAAUCCCGUCCACCGAAUGCCUAAGGUUUCCUGAGGAAGGCUCGUCCGCUCAGGGUUAGUCAGGACCUAAGCCGAGGCCGACAGGCGUAGGCGAUGGACAACAGGUUGAUAUUCCUGUACCACCUCUUUAUCGUUUGAGCAAUGGAGGGACGCAGAAGGAUAGAAGAAGCGUGCGAUUGGUUGUGCACGUCCAAGCAGUUAGGCUGAUAAGUAGGCAAAUCCGCUUAUCGUGAAGGCUGAGCUGUGAUGGGGAAGCUCCUUAUGGAGCGAAGUCUUUGAUUCCCCGCUGCCAAGAAAAGCUUCUAGCGAGAUAAAAGGUGCCUGUACCGCAAACCGACACAGGUAGGCGAGGAGAGAAUCCUAAGGUGUGCGAGAGAACUCUGGUUAAGGAACUCGGCAAAAUGACCCCGUAACUUCGGGAGAAGGGGUGCUUUCUUAACGGAAAGCCGCAGUGAAUAGGCCCAAGCGACUGUUUAGCAAAAACACAGCUCUCUGCGAAGCCGUAAGGCGAAGUAUAGGGGGUGACACCUGCCCGGUGCUGGAAGGUUAAGGAGAGGGGUUAGCGUAAGCGAAGCUCUGAACUGAAGCCCCAGUAAACGGCGGCCGUAACUAUAACGGUCCUAAGGUAGCGAAAUUCCUUGUCGGGUAAGUUCCGACCCGCACGAAAGGUGUAACGAUUUGGGCACUGUCUCAACCAGAGACUCGGUGAAAUUAUAGUACCUGUGAAGAUGCAGGUUACCCGCGACAGGACGGAAAGACCCCGUGGAGCUUUACUGUAGCCUGAUAUUGAAUUUUGGUACAGUUUGUACAGGAUAGGCGGGAGCCAUUGAAACCGGAGCGCUAGCUUCGGUGGAGGCGCUGGUGGGAUACCGCCCUGACUGUAUUGAAAUUCUAACCUACGGGUCUUAUCGACCCGGGAGACAGUGUCAGGUGGGCAGUUUGACUGGGGCGGUCGCCUCCUAAAGUGUAACGGAGGCGCCCAAAGGUUCCCUCAGAAUGGUUGGAAAUCAUUCGUAGAGUGCAAAGGCAUAAGGGAGCUUGACUGCGAGACCUACAAGUCGAGCAGGGACGAAAGUCGGGCUUAGUGAUCCGGUGGUUCCGCAUGGAAGGGCCAUCGCUCAACGGAUAAAAGCUACCCCGGGAUAACAGGCUUAUCUCCCCCAAGAGUCCACAUCGACGGGGAGGUUUGGCACCUCGAUGUCGGCUCAUCGCAUCCUGGGGCUGUAGUCGGUCCCAAGGGUUGGGCUGUUCGCCCAUUAAAGCGGUACGCGAGCUGGGUUCAGAACGUCGUGAGACAGUUCGGUCCCUAUCCGUCGUGGGCGUAGGAAAUUUGAGAGGAGCUGUCCUUAGUACGAGAGGACCGGGAUGGACGCACCGCUGGUGUACCAGUUGUUCUGCCAAGGGCAUAGCUGGGUAGCUAUGUGCGGAAGGGAUAAGUGCUGAAAGCAUCUAAGCAUGAAGCCCCCUCAAGAUGAGAUUUCCCAUAGCGUAAGCUAGUAAGAUCCCUGAAAGAUGAUCAGGUUGAUAGGUUCGAGGUGGAAGCAUGGUGACAUGUGGAGCUGACGAAUACUAAUAGAUCGAGGACUUAACCAU
rnacentral:rRNA from 1 species